rnacentral:rRNA from 1 species
AUUGAACGCUAGCGGGAUGCUUUACACAUGCAAGUCGAACGAGUGGCGGACGGGUGAGUAAUAUAUCGGAACGUGCCCAGUAGCGGGGGAUAACUACUCGAAACAGUGGCUAAUACCGCAUACUAUUGGAUCGACCGAUAUCGGAUUAGCUAGUUGGUGGGGUAAAGGCGCACCAAGGCAACGAUCCGUAGCUGGGUUGAGAGGAGGACCAGCCACACUGGGACUGGGACACGGCCCAGACUCCUACGGGAGGCAGCAGUGGGGAAUUUUGGACAAUGGGGGAAACCCUGAUCCAGCCAUCCCGCGUGUAUGAGAAGGCCUUAGGGUUGUAAAGUACUUUUGGCAGAGAAGCGGUACCCGCAGAAUAAGCACCGGCUAACUACGUGCCAGCAGCCGCGGUAAUUC